GCUACUUUAGCUUAGUGGUAGAGCGUCCGCUUUGUAGUGAGAAAAUCGUCAGUGCAAUCCUGGCAAGUGGCU